rnacentral:rRNA from 1 species
AUGCUCAUCUCUGUCUUCAGAAUAAUACUAGUUUUGUCUGAAUUUGAUCCACUUCAAGCAACUGCUCAUCUGAAGGCUGUCACACUGUGUACAACAUUCCACCAUUGUUAUCUGCUCUGCUCUGAAACUGCACUGUCUUACUACUUAGUUACUACUGAACCUUACAACUAUAUUCUGACGUCACUACGACAUUUCGUCAGACGACGACGUCGAAGCUACCCUUGCCGUCAGCGGCGUCGGAUAGCCGUUUCCGGCGACUGCCCCCUCGCACUGCUGGCAGCAGCGGGGCGGCGUCGUACUCGGAGACGCCCGUCUUCUCGUCGAGGUUUUUCCGGUGAGCCUGCUCGCACCGCAGCAGUAUCUGCAGCACGUCCUUCAUGGUUGGCCGCGUCGACGGCUGGGCGCCGGUGCAGAUGA